rnacentral:rRNA from 1 species
AUUGAACGCUGGCGGCAUGCUUUACGCAUGCAAGUCGAACGGUAACAGGCCGCCAGGUGCUGACGAGUGGCGAACGGGUGAGUAAUGCAUCGGAACGUGCCCAGUCGUGGGGGAUAACUACUCGAAAGAGUAGCUAAUACCGCAUACGAUCUAUGGAUGAAAGCGGGGGACCGUAAGGCCUCGCGCGAUUGGAGCGGCCGAUGUCAGAUUAGGUAGUUGGUGGGGUAAAGGCUCACCAAGCCAACGAUCUGUAGCUGGUCUGAGAGGACGACCAGCCACACUGGGACUGAGACACGGCCCAGACUCCUACGGGAGGCAGCAGUGGGGAAUUUUGGACAAUGGGCGCAAGCCUGAUCCAGCAAUGCCGCGUGCAGGAAGAAGGCCUUCGGGUUGUAAACUGCUUUUGUACGGAACGAAACGGCUCUGGUUAAUACCCGGGGCUAAUGACGGUACCGUAAGAAUAAGCACCGGCUAACUACGUG